rnacentral:rRNA from 1 species
CGAACGCUGGCGGCAGGCCUAAUACAUGCAAGUCGAACGGCUCUUCGGAGCAGUGGCGGACGGGUGAGUAACGCGUGGGAAUGUGCCCUUAGGUACGGAACAACACAGGGAAACUUGUGCUAAUACCGUAUGUGCCCUUCGGGGGAAAGAUUUAUCGCCUUUGGAGCAGCCCGCGUUGGAUUAGGGAGUUGGUGAGGUAAGGCUCACCAAGCCGACGAUCCAUAGCUGGUCUGAGAGGAUGACCAGCCACACUGGGACUGGGACACGGCCCAGACUCCUACGGGAGGCAGCAGUAGGGAAUCUUGCGCAAUGGGCGAAAGCCUGACGCAGCCAUGCCGCGUGUAUGAUGAAGGUCUUAGGAUUGUAAAAUACUUUCACCGGGGAAGAUAAUGACGGUACCCGGAGAAGAAGCCCCGGCUAACUUCGUGCCAGCCGCCGCGGUAA